rnacentral:rRNA from 1 species
CCUACGGGAGGCAGCAGUGGGGGAUAUUGCGCAAUGGGGGAAACCCUGAUCCAGCGACGCCGCGUGAGUGAAGACGGUCUUCGGAUCGUAAACCCCUGUCCGCAGUGAAGAUCAUGCCGGUAGCUGAUGAGGAGGCUCCGGCUAACUACGUGCCAGCAGCCACGGUAAUACGUAGGGAGCAAGCGUUCUCCGGAUUUACUGGGUGUAAAGGGUGCGUAGGCGGCUUGGCAAGUCAGGAGGGAAAUCCAUGGGCUGAACCCCUGAACUGCUUGUGAAACUGCAUGGCGAGAGUGGAGGAGAGGAAGGCGGAAUUCCGGGUGUAGCGGUGAAAUGCGUAGAUAUCAGGAGGAACACCAGUGGCGAAGGCGGCCUGCUGGACUGUAACUGACGCUGAGGCACGAAAGCGUGGGUAGCAAACAGGAUUAGAUACCCUGGUAGUC